rnacentral:rRNA from 1 species
ACGGGAGGCAGCAGUGGGGAAUAUUGGGCAAUGGGCGAAAGCCUGACCCAGCAACGCCGCGUGAAGGAAGAAGGUCUUCGGAUUGUAAACUUCUUUUAUGAGGGACGAAACAAAUGACGGUACCUCAUGAAUAAGCCACGGCUAACUACGUGCCAGCAGCCGCGGUAAUACGAAGGAUCCGAGCGUUAUCCGGAUUUAUUGGGUUUAAAGGGUGCGCAGGCGGCUUUCUAAGUCAGUGGUUAAAUAGCGGUGCUCAACGCCGUCCCGCCAUUGAUACUGGAGAGCUUGAUUGCGGUCGAGGUUUGCGGAAUUCGUCGUGUAGCGGUGAAAUGCAUAGAUAUGACGAAGAACACCGAUUGCGUAGGCAGCAGACCAGGCCGUAAAUGACGCUCAUGCACGAAAGUGCGGGGAUCGAACAGGAUUAGAUACCCUGGUA